CUGCCAUCUGCACUAGAUAUCAUCCGGCAUACGCAACUAUUCUAUCUGUGUUUCAUGAGAGAUGCGUACCGAUACGUAUCGGUAUGACGAACGGCAUGUGCAAACGGGACUGAUAGGAGCCCAGAGUGUGGGACGAUGCAUCAGUGCAAGUUGGAUUGUACCAUUGGACAGAGAGAUAGAGAGAGGGUGAGACAGAUGAGAGAUAUGGCGGCGUGCGAAAAGGGAUGAAGGCGUGGGAGAAUGAAAGGCUGCAUCCAGCCAAUCUCCGCUACCGCUUUGAAGCUGUAUUCAGCCUGUGCAAUGUUCCACUUGUACCGCAUGCUUUACCUGAGGUCAUGGAACAAGUUGACUGCUUGUAAUAUCUGGCAUUUGAUCAAGGAUUGGGACGGUGUGGAUUGUCCUUUGGGAUUAACUGCAUCGUGGUUCGGAGGUCAUUAAACAGUGUCUAGAACGUUAUAAUUUUAUGGAUCCUAUAGGACAUGGCAUAGGGGUUGCGAGCACGGAAGCGCAGCAAGAAGAAAGCUCAAGACGACAACAACAAAUGCCGAUCGUCCGCGUCUGCAAUUGAUGGCCGUGGUCCCGUAAUUGCGUGACUCGUCAGAACAAUAACAACAACCAUCGU